UACGAAGGGGGCUAGCGUUGCUCGGAAUCACUGGGCGUAAAACGCACGUAGGCGGAUUGCUAAGUCAGGGGUGAAAUCCUGGAGCUCAACUCCAGAACUGCCCUUGAUACUGGCGGUCUCGAGUCCGGGAGAGGUGAGUGGAACUGCGAGUGUAGAGGUGAAAUUCGUAGAUAUUCGCAAGAACACCAGUGGCGAAGGCGGCUCACUGGCCCGGUACUGACGCUGAGGUGCGAAAGCGUGGGGAGCAAACAGG
rnacentral:rRNA from 1 species